GACAGAGGUGCCGAGCGUUAGGCGGAAUCACUGGGCUUAAAGCGUGUGUAGGCGGGCCGUUAAGUAUCUUGUGAAAUCCCCCGGCUCAACCGGGGAAUGGCUGGAUAUACUGGCGGUCUUGAGCAGUCUAGGGGCAGAUGGAACAAGUGGUGGAGCGGUGAAAUGCGUAGAUAUCAUUUGGAACGCCAACGGCGAAAGCAGGCAGCUGGGGAUGCACCGACGCUGAGACACGAAAGCCAGGGGAGCGAACGGG
rnacentral:rRNA from 1 species